rnacentral:rRNA from 1 species
CCUACGGGUGGCAGCAGUGGGGAAUAUUGCACAAUGGGCGCAAGCCUGAUGCAGCCAUGCCGCGUGUAUGAAGAAGGCCUUCGGGUUGUAAAGUACUUUCAGCGGGGAGGAAGGGAGUAAGGUUAAUAACCUUAUUCAUUGACGUUACCCGCAGAAGAAGCACCGGCUAACUCCGUGCCAGCAGCC